UACGGAGGGCGCAAGCGUUGUUCGGAAUCAUUGGGCGUAAAGCGCAUGUAGGCGGCGUGGCAAGUCGGGUGUGAAAUCCCGGGGCUCAACCCCGGAACUGCAUUCGAUACUGCCUCGCUAGAGUCCCGGAGAGGAAGGCGGAAUUCCCGGUGUAGAGGUGAAAUUCGUAGAUAUCGGGAGGAACACCAGUGGCGAAGGCGGCCUUCUGGACGGUGACUGACGCUGAGAUGCGAAAGCGUGGGGAGCAAACAGG
rnacentral:rRNA from 1 species